CAAAAAUGUCUGGUUAUGCUGGUGUUGUUGUUUCUGACCCUUUACUUCAUAGUCAGUUUACUCGGUGAACUUCAAGCCUGAAAUCCAAAUAUACUUCGGUGAAGAGUCAUAGUGGUAAAGUCACCAUUGGAGAUUUGCCUUCAAUGAUGGCAAAGUUGAAAGCUUUUAGUCAGUCAUUUAAAGAGGAUGAUAUUAAGGGGAUUUUGACUGAGUCUGCUUCUGAUAUGAGAUCAAGAGAUCGAGUUUGAGGACUUUUUGAAGGUUCAUCUAAGCUUUCAAGCUAGAGCGUCAGCUCAGCUCGGUGGUUCAAAGGAUUCGUCAGCCUUUCUCAAGGCCUCAACGACUACCCUUCUUCAU